rnacentral:lncRNA from 1 species
AAACCGCAGUUCGCCGCCGCCGCCGCCGGGCACCCAGCCCCAGGGGGGCGGGCUGGAGGGAGGGGGCGGGCGCUGGCCGGGGGACCCCCGCAACCAUGGCGGGCGGGGAGUGGGCUGCCGAGCCGCUUCACCUGCCGCAGAGGGGGCGGCCGGCGCCGCUUCACCUGCCGGAGCGGGAGGCCACCGAGGCGAGGCCGAGGCGGCGGCGCGCUCGGCGGCGCCUCCGGGUCCUAGAACCGCAUCCUCCCGCUCGCCUCGGGCGAGGGAUUGGCCGGGUCUGGGUGAAGGGGAUCACGGCCUGGGGAUUGGAGGGGCACAUCUUCUCCGCACCGAGGAUCUCAGCGACUGCGAGCACGGCUCGGAGACCCACGGUGGUGCAGCGUUGGGGCGCCAGGGCUGCGUUCCCGUCUCGCGUCCCGGACUGAGAAGAAAUACUUUCAGAGCUCUUUCAUUCAUCCUGACAAUGGCCAGAGAAGAGCCACUGACAAGACUUUAAGCAAGAGACGGAGAGUUAACAUCUAAUCUGGAGGAAGACCCUGGAAGGAGCCAGCCCCUUCCCCCAGGCUGACCUGGUUUAAGCCUUUCUUCUGCCAAGGUCACCAGCACCCCAGAUGGGUGAGAGAUGUGAUCACUGGUUUCGUGGCCUGACCAAGGACCUCCAAGGUGAGUCAAAGCAGAAUUCUCCUUGGGCAUGCAGGGAAAAUGAUCCAUUCCCUGCACACUGCCAUAUUCUCCUUCUCAGACAGACCAGAGCCUUGCCCUUGGGUCCUUGCCCUUGAGAUUAGCUAGGACCUCCUCCUCUUCUUCUCCUUCUUUCUUCUUCUUCUUGUCUCUAUAAGAUAACUGUCGUGGAAGACUUUUUUUUUUCUUUUAAGAUGGAGUCUCUCGCUGUUGCCCAGGCUGGAGUGCAGUGGCUCGGUCUCAGCUCACUGCAACCUCCACCUCCCAGGUCCAAGCAAUUAUCCAGUCUCAGCCUCCUCAGUAGCUGGGACCACAGGUGCGUGCCACCACACCCAGCUCAUUUUUGUAUUUUUAGUAGAGACGGGGUUUUGCUAUGUUGACCAAGCUGGUCUCGAACUCCUGACCUCAAGUGAUCCGCCUGCCUCGGCCUCCCAAAGUGCUGGGAUUACAGGCAUGAGGCACCCCGUCCAGCCUGGAAGACUUUUUUUUUUAAUGAAUAAAAACACAUUUUUUUA